AGGGAAUCUUCCACAAUGGACGCAAGUCUGAUGGAGCAACGCCGCGUGAGUGAAGAAGGUUUUCGGACCGUAAAGCUCUGUUGUUGGUGAAGAAGGAUAGAGGUAGUAACUGGCCUUUAUUUGACGGUAAUCAACCAGAAAGUCACGGCUAACUACGUGCCAGCAGCCGCGGUAAUACGUAGGUGGCAAGCGUUGUCCGGAUUUAUUGGGCGUAAAGCGAGCGCAGGCGGAAGAAUAAGUCUGAUGUGAAAGCCCUCGGCUUAACCGAGGAAUUGCAUCGGAAACUGUUUUCUUGAGUGCAGAAGAGGAGAGUAGAACUCCAUGUGUAGCGGUGGAAUGCGUAGAUAUAUGGAAGAAUACCAGUGGCGAAGGCGGCUCUCUGGUCUGCAACUGACGCUGAGGCUCGAAAGCAUGGGUAGCGAACAGGAUUAGAUACCCUGGUAGUCCAUGCCGUAAACGAUGAGUGCUAAGUGUUGGGAGGCUUCCGCCUCUCAGUGCUGCAGCUAACGCAUUAAGCACUCCGCCUGGGGGAGUACGACCG
rnacentral:rRNA from 1 species